UACGAAGGGGGCUAGCGUUGCUCGGAAUCACUGGGCUUAAAGCGUGUGUAGGCGGACUGGUAAGUACCUUGUGAAAUCCCCCGGCUCAACCGGGGAACGGCUGGGUAUACUGGCGAUCUUGAGCCACCUAGGGGCAGUCGGAACAAGUGGUGGAGCGGUGAAAUGCGUAGAUAUCACUUGGAACGCCAAUGGUGAAAACAGACUGCUGGGGGUGUGCUGACGCUGAGACACGAAAGCCAGGGGAGCAAACGGG
rnacentral:rRNA from 1 species